rnacentral:tRNA from 1 species
GGAAGAGUGACAGAGAGGCUAAACGUCGCGGUCUCGAAAACCGAUGGUCGGAAACGGCACGGGAGUUCGAAUCUCCCCUCUUCCG